UCAAGAAAAAUUCCUUUCGAUCGCGAAUGUCGCUACCUCAUAGAAUAUCUCUUUAGUGUAUGUGGAAUAACUGUUAUCAAAUAACCUUACUAUCAAGUUCUAUGAUCAUUAUUCUCUCCAAUUAAUUGUUGGUUCUAAUUGUCAGGGUUUGAGUGAGACCUCGCAUUUACUUGCCACCAUCUUCUGAACUGCCUCAUGGAUUCUCUGGCACAAGGUUUGAAUUCCGUGUUUUUUCCCCAAAGUUCAACAGUUUGAUGCGAUGCCGCAGAUAUGGAUUAAUAUAAAGUCAGACCAACCGACAAAGGUAUUCUAGAUAUGAAACUCGUUUGAUAUAGAUAUUCUUUCUUUUGUUCCUCUGAAUCAUUCAGUUGAUUUCUAUCAUUAAUUUUGGUAUCUAGACAGAUGAUUUUGUCAUUUAUUGUCCCAGAUGAACAGAAAAUCAUCCAACGAUUGUGACCAUAUUCUUGCUUUUGUUCCAGAAGAAGAUGAAACAAACUUCAUGGUUCUCGGUAAGUUGAGUUAGUUUUAUAGCUGAAUCUUACAAUCUUGUAUAUCUUUCUGGCACUGUGUAUUGUAGACCAAAAUUUUGUCAUGGGCUAAUUUUUGAUAGCUUCAUCCUUACAAGGUAUUCUGACACUGCAAAUAUGGAUCACGUCAGCUCCUUGUACCUUUCUGAAGACUAAAAAGUGACAUAUCAAAAAUUAAAGUUAUCUACAAGUACCUUUCUCAUAUCGCUUAGUGUUCUCAUACUCUUAAGAUCAGUAGUGUGUUUGGUGUCUAAUUAAAGUUUUCUUUCAUUUUCUUAAUGAAACUAAUGAACAUGUGUUUCUGCUUGGUCGACACUAAUUUAGAGUUUGAGGAGGACAUGGAGAGGUCUAUAUGCGAUAUGAGAAGCUAGGUAAGCCAACAAUCCCCUAAUGAGACUACUGUUAAUGAGACGUUCCUUCUUGUAAAUUAACAUGUAGGGAAAAGGAGAAGACAAUGAUAGCCAAACAGGAGAGAUAAUAUACACAACAACUUGCUCAAUUGGAAGAACACUGAAGAAAAAAGAAGCGGGUAAAUAAUAGCCUUACAUUUUUACACCUUCUCUAUUUCUCUUGUUGUAUGACAGAAUGUGAAAUCUCGGGGUGUAGGAUGACAAAAUUUCAGCAUAUUGAAGAAAAUUCUCGGGCUAUAACCUGGAUGAGUAAAAGAUUAACUUCUCUUCAUUUGACUCUAAAGGUAAAGAAACCUCUUACGAUUUUUUUAAGUUUGUCUGAAAGUAUGUAGUCUAUGACUUUGCUAUCUUACUAGCUUAUCACUUGUCUACAUUCUUUUGGAAGCCUAUGACUUUGCUAUCUUACUAGCUUUUCCCUUUCAUCCAGUCGCUUUCAUUGUCCUUUAUGAAUGGUUGUCUAGGUGUAUAUCACCAUUCACCAAAGUAUCUUACAUGCUUAUUCUGCUUGUUGGUCACUACAUAUAGUUUAUCCUCCUAUCGCCUCUUUGGAUCAGUGUUUUUCGUUUCAAAGUAAAGACAAAUUGCUAACAAAAUAGUGUUAAAAUUUCAGCAGACUAGUGGCUCACUUUACAGUGUAUAUGGCUCAAUUGUGGUUGUUAGCAUUCUCACAUUGUAUAUGGCUCAAUUGUGGUAGACAGAAAUAUAUAGCACAAUUUCAGUGAGAAAGAAAUUAAAGUUUGUGAUUUACUAAAUUUUGCAAGGAAGAAGAAAGGAGCUGAUUAUGGCUGCAUUCUUGUUUUGUUAGAGCCCUUGUGACUGUACUAGCACCAAUCUAUUCCGUCUGAUAAUUGGACAUGUUACUUAUAUGGGGUGGUUAAACUGGUAAGUAAGAUUGAUCAUGCAUUUGUAGUGUUUAAUACCAUUUUCACACAAAUAGUUUGUCUUCCUUAAAACUGUAAAAGUGAGAAUUUACUUGAUUUUCAUUUUUGUUUUGUUUGAUUGUGAAAUAAGAUUUUGAAAGGUCCAGUUAUCUCCAAGAAAAAAUAUCUAUGAAAUUGGUUCUGCUUCCUGGCAUCCAUAUUUCUCAAAAUUUGUCGUUGUUUCUGAGAUAAACAUGGUGAUGAUAUUAUGUUGUUUCAAUUGGAUUUCCUUAGUUAAGUAGGUAGUGGGGAAUGGGGAUCAAUAUAGCAGCAGAGAGUGAUGUGGUUUUAGUAUGAGGAACAUGAAGGCAUCAAGGUAUCUAAAUUUAAUACUCUUGUUUCUACUAUGAUCUUUCAUAUUUUUGUAUAUCGGAUCUAGUUAAUAAAUGUGAUUUCAACAGGGAAGAUGCUUGAAAAUUACUUAAAGAGAAGCAAAUUUUCCAUUAAGUUCAUGCUCAGAACAUAUGCAGUUUCAGGUAUAUUAUUCCACUACAGUCACAGAAGUUAUCGUCUCUUUUGUUCAUAGCUAAUAGACUUCUCAAAAUUCUAUAGUGAUUGAACAUGUUUUCUUCUUUGUUUCUUUGUUUCUUUGAUUCUUGGAUUCUUUGAUCUUUGUUUACUUAGUUGCUUCAUUGGUUGCUUAACUUGUUUGUAUGUUUCCUUCUUUAUCACCUUACUUGUUUCAUUGUUUAAUUACAUGCUAAACUUGUUUUCUCAGUUUUUCCUUCAUUGCUAGCUUCUUUACACAACUUGCUUGCUUCCAUGAUUUGUUUACUUACACAAUUAGAGUAAUAGUGAUGAAAAUUUGUGUUGAACUCGGAAAAUUACAACUAUUUGCAACCUAAGAGUUGACAACAAAUCCUUCUAAGACUUCCACAAAUGAAUAAUGUUAGAUUUCAUUACUUCUCUCGCAAAUCCAUUCGCCUCUAAAACAUCUCUUCAUUGGUUGUUUAACUUAUUUGUAUGUUUCCUUCUUUAUCACCUUACUCGUUUCAUUGUUUAAUCACAUGCUAAACUUGUUUUCUCACUUUUUUCCUUCAUUGCUAGCUUCUUUACACAACUUGCUUGCUUCCAUGAUUUGUUUACUUACACAAUUAGAGUAAUAAGUGAUGAAAAUUUGUGUUGAACUCGGAAAAUUACAACUACUUGCAACCUAAGAGUUGACAACCAAUCCUUCUAAAACUUCCACAAAUGAAUAAUGUUAGAUUCCAUCGCUUCUCUCGCAAAUCCAUUCGCCUCUAAAACAAUUCUGGAAGAACUCAACUUCUCCUCUAUAUUCUUCAGCUCUUGGUUGUAGUUUUCAAAAUAAAUGGUGGCACACCAUUUACGAGAAUCAAAACAAUGCGCUCCAAAUUCCUGAUCCCGUAAGCGAAAUGAUAGGUAGACACGUUGAUCAGCUGAGUGGAUUUCCCAUCAUACCGACAGACUCCAUUCUUAGGUUUGAUAUAUGUUUCAAACACGUAUAAACAUCAUAACAUUAAUCAAUAUUUUUUUCACUUGUGUUGGAUUCUUUCUUUCUUUGUUCCCUGUAUACUUCAAUAUUAUCUUAAGAGUAACAUAGAAUAUAUGUCAUCAGAUAGUAGGAAGAUUGCUUCAGCCACUAAAAGCGAGAGCUCAACCCCUAGUCCUUCAGCCUCAUCUUUCUGCUUCUCAUUG
rnacentral:lncRNA from 1 species